GACGAACGCUGGCGGCGUGCUUAACACAUGCAAGUCGAACGGUGAUGCUCCAGCUUGCUGGCGUGGAUCAGUGGCGAACGGGUGAGUAACACGUGAGCAACCUGCCCCAGACUCUGGAAUAAGCGCUGGAAACGGCGUCUAAUACUGGAUACGAAACUGGCCCGCAUGGGCAUGGUUUGGAAAGUUUUUCGGUUUGGGAUGGGCUCGCGGCCUAUCAGCUUGUUGGUGAGGUAAUGGCUCACCAAGGCGACGACGGGUAGCCGGCCUGAGAGGGCGACCGGCCACACUGGGACUGAGACACGGCCCAGACUCCUACGGGAGGCAGCAGUGGGGAAUAUUGCACAAUGUGCGAAAGCCUGAUGCAGCGACGCCGCGUGAGGGAUGACGGCCUUCGGGUUGUAAACCUCUUUCAGCAGGGAAGAAGCGAAAGUGACGGUACCUGCAGAAGAAGCACCGGCUAACUACGUG
rnacentral:rRNA from 1 species